rnacentral:rRNA from 1 species
GAUGAACGCUGGCGGCGUGCCUAAUACAUGCAAGUCGAACGAGGUGCUUUUGUAGCAAUACGAGAGUAUCCUAGUGGCGAACGGGUGAGUAACGCGUGGAUGACCUGCCCCAAAGUGUGGGAUAACAGUCCGAAAGGAUUGCUAAUACCUCAUGUGGUUAUCGGUUUUAGAAAGCGAUAACUAAAGCAGCAAUGCGCUUUGGGAGGGAUCUGCGUCCCAUCAGCUAGUUGGUGAGGUAACGGCUCACCAAGGCGACGACGGGUAGGGGACCUGAGAGGGUGGCCCCCCACAAUGGAACUGAAACAACGGUCCAUACACCUACGGGUGGCAGCAGUAGGGAAGUAAUUGCUCAAUAGGGCGGAAAGACCUGAAGCAGCAACGCCGCGUGUGCGAUGAAGGCCUCGU